GGGAACUGGGGGGGAACUGGGGGGGGAAUUGGGAACUGGGGGGGUACUGGGAGGUACUGGGAGAUACUGGGAGGGGGGAAUUGGGAACUGGGGGGUCACUGGGAGGUACUGGGAGGUACUGGGAGGUACUGGGAGGGAACUGGGGGGGCACUGGGAGGUACUGGGAGGUGCUGGGAGAGGGGAAUUGGGAACUGGGGGGGCACUGAGAGGUACUGGGAGGUACUGGGAGGUACUGGGAGGGAACUGGGGGGGGGCAAUUGGGAACUCGGGGGGUACUGGGAGUUACUGGGAGAUACUGGGAGGUACUGGGAGGUACCAGGAGGUAACUGGGGGGGUACUGGGAGGUACUGGGAGAUACUGGGAGCUACUGGGAGGGGGCAAUUGGGAACUGGGGGGGUACUGGGAGAUACUGGGAGGUACUGGGAGGUACCGGGAGGGAAUUGGGGGGGCACUGGGAGGUACUGGGAGAUACUGGGAGCUACUGGGAGGGAACUGGGGGGGGGAACUGGGAACUGGGGGGGCACUGGGAGGUACUGGGAGCUACUGGGAGCUACUGGGAGGGGCAAUUGGGAACUGGGGGUGUACCGGGGCGGGAUGGGGGGGGCUGUGUGGGUGUCGCUGACCCCCCCCCGGCCCCCCCCUGUUUCCACAUGUGCCGCCCGUCGCCGGGGGGGCAGCGGCUGCUGGCCGAGCUCCGCGCCCCCCCCCCGCUGCGCCCCGCCCGCCGCCCCUCGGCCCUCACCACCGUCUUCCGAGGCCCCCCCCCGAGAGCUGCUGCCAGGACCCGGAGCUGGGGGGGGCCGGCGGGGGGGGAUGGGCCCGGACCCCCCCCCCUCCCCAAGGAGCCCCCCCCCCCCAAAUAAAAAAAUAAAUUAUAAUUAAAUUUUUAAUGAUUAAAUUAAAGAGCUCGGGGGGUUGAUUGACAGCCGUGACCUUUGACCUUUGAGCGGGUGGGGGGUGACGUCAUGGGGAGUGACGUCAUCGGGGGCGUGACGUCACGAUAGGGCACCUCUUGGUGGGGGGGAGGUUUUAGAGGGACUUUGAGCGCCACACUGCCGUAAAGCGCGGAUGGGUGAAGUGUCGUGAAAGCAAACAGCCAUGCUGCCGUAAAGCAGAGCUUCGGGUUUACGUGAGGCGCCACUCUGCCGUAAAGCGCGCGUGGGUGAGGUGUCGUGAAAGGGGCUCGCCGCUCUGCCGUAAAGCAGCGCUGAGGGGGGAUGUAAGGAGACAGAAAUGUCGUAAUCGCCCGCCGUAAAGCCGUAAAGCAGGUCGGAGAGGGAAAGGGGGACGCCAUGCUGCCGUAGAGCGCGGAAGGGCGGAGUGUCGUGAAAACGCACGGCCACUCUGCCGUAACGCAGCGCUGCGGGCCGUAAGGGAGCGCCACACUGCCGUAAAGCGCAAGAAGACGAGGUGUCUUGAAAGCGGCGCUCUGCCGUAAAGGAGAACGGGGAGGGAGUGGGAUGGCCACGCUGCCGUAAAGUGAGGAUGGGUGAAGUGUUGUGAAAGCGGGCCGCCACUCUGCCGUAAAGCAGUGCUAUUAGGUACAGGCAGAGCCUCUGCCGUAAAGCGCAGGAAGCUGCAGUGUCGUGAACGCAGUUUGCCACACUGCCGUAAAGCAGAUCGCGGAGUCGCCGCGGCGCCGCUCUGCCGUAAAGCACGGAACGCUGAAAAAAAGCGUCGCAAACCCCCCGCCUCCACGCUGCCGUAAAGCAGGUGGCGGAGCAGCCGGCGCGCCACUCUGCCGUAAAGCGCGCCCGCCCGCGCCCCGUUUCGCCGCGCGCGGCUCGCGCUUUACGGCAGCGUCGCAAAAAGGCGGCGGAAGAUGGCGGCGGUGACGGCGCAGGCGGCGACGGGGCCCUGGGACGGGGCCGGGGCCGGGGUCGUGGCUUGGGGGGGGCCGGGCCCCGCCGGGCUUCACCGGGACUGGACCCAGGAGGCCGUCAGCACCGGCGUGAGGGGCGGGGGGACGUGGGGGGGGCGGAAUUGGCGGCGGGCCCGUCGAGGGGGUCUCUAUAUGGGGCUGGGGGGUCGCUAUGGGGCGGGGGGAUUGCUAUGGGGCCUGGGUUUCGCUAUGGGGCUAGGGGAUUGCUAUGGGGCUGGAGGGGUCGCUAUGGGGCCGGGGGGUCGCUGUGGGGCUGGGGGGGUGCUAUGGGGCUGGGGGGUCGCUAUGGGGCUGGGGGGUGCUAUGGGGCCGAGGGAUUCACUGUGGGUCUGAGGGGUCUCUAUGGGUCUGGGGGGUCGCUAUGGGGCUGGGGGGUCUCUAUGGGUCUGGGGGGGUCGCUAUGGGGCUGCCCCCCAGGACCCCAUCUUCGCCAUGGGGCCGGAGGAGCUGCGGGCGCCGCUGGACAUUCCCCUGCCAGACCCGGCCCAGGUGAGGACCCCAAAAUGUGGGGCCGGGACCCCCAAGUGUGGGUCCGGGACCCUCAAGUGUGGGUCUAGGACCCCCAAGUGCCCCCUUCUCACCCCCCAACCCUGCCCCAUAGAAGAAGAAGAAGAAGGAGAAGGACGAGGAGGAGGAGGGUGAGUGUGGGGCAGAGGUUGGGGGUCCCAUGGGGUGGUUGUGGGGCGCUAUGGGGCAGUUAUGGGUCCCAUGGGGUAGUUAUGGGUCCCAU
ensembl:lncRNA